GUAUGGUAUGGUUCUUAACUAUAAUACACACACACAAUCAAAACUCGUUGACAGAUAGUGUACUUCGCGAGAAAAAAUUGUACUCAGCUGUUUAUGGUGCAACCUAUUAAUUAUGUCAUAAUAACACAUAAUAAUGACGAAAUGGAUGAAGGCAAACGAUGUUACACGACGAAUCAUUCAAACAUCCAAACGUGCAAAUGAGUGUCAUGACUUUUCAUAUGCCUCAUGAGAGUGUACCGAGGGCUGUUGCUGUGUUGAUUUCAGUUUGCGUUAUGUGUUAAUAUCCAUUUUUUUUUUUUGGAGUAUAACGCAGAUCAAAAAAAUCAAUUCUCUGGUCGCCACUGAAAACUAGUUGUGUAGAAGAUGGGACAAAUAUCGAUUUAUAAUUUCGGCCGAAUUUUUAUAAUUUUCCGCUAAUGAAGUACAUAUGUGCUGUAAUUAAUCGUUUCUAAUUGUAAAUAACUUUGAUUCAUGAUGCAUGGAGCUAUUAAAACAUGUUCAUUCGUAGUUGCAAGAAAAAUCCACUAUGUGAACAAAGGACUCUCAACCUAGAACCUAGAGUUGUGCGAAAUAAAUGAAAAAUACAAAUUCCGCGGAUGCAAGUUCCAGUUUUGCAGUGAUCAACUUCGUCCAAUUAUUCCCCAUGAACAUUAUUAAGUAUGUCAAAUCUGCCGACUGAAAAUGUCAUCAAAUAGGAGAAAAUGUAAACAAAAAAUUAAUGUAAGAAGAGAACACAACAAGUUGACAUCCUCAAUGCCACAAGAACCGCCAAAUUAAAAAAAAAAAAAAUACGUUGGUUAAUCGCUUGGCUUAAGCUUAUUCAGUGGAUCCUGACAAUAAGCUUAACGAGCACCAAGUCACAUGAUUUUUAAAAAAUAAAUUAAUAAUAAUAAUAAUAACCUUCACUAAAUUAUCAAUAUAUAAUUUUCGAUAUAAAUUCAAUUUCUCAAAAUCGAUAACCGACAGUAGCAUUAACAUACAACUUAACAUUAAAAUGUUAAAAUGAACGUCCGCACAAAUUGAGAACAUGUAGUGCAAUAUGUUAAAUGUUAAUCCUCCAUUCCAAAGAGCGUAAGAAAGAUUAUUAUUAUUAGAAAGAUUAUUAUUAUUAGAUUAUUAAAGAUUAUUAAGAAAGAUUAUCUUACGCUCUUUGAUUUAUAUUUGUACAUUCAUAAUUCCGUCCUUUUUUAUAAAAUGAAAGAAUAGGCAGGGAAGGAAUAUAAAUAUAUUGUUCUAGGUGCCAGUUAUUAAAUAAUAUUUUAAUAGACAAUACCAAACCCAAAUUCAAUCAAAUCGCUUGUUUUACAUUAGAAGACGCAAAGAAAAGAGUAAUUACCUAUUUCUUAAGUGUUUUGAUGGCAUCAUCUUCAUCGGGGAGCAACGAACAAACCAAAACCGUUCCUUUGAAUUUGUUAAGGAGGGACGAUGCUGCCAUGGGAUUGAGUGGAUCGGUCUGUACGACUCCCCCUUGCUCGUGUCCUUUUCAGGUUUCAGUAGCGGGAUCAGACUACCCAUCUUCUAAACAUUGGAUACUAUAAUAGUGAUCAGAUAGGCUGAGGACAGUUGUAAGUUAAUCGACUCUAGGCAGAUCCAGCGCUUUGCGCGACUUGGUGCCACGGAUGACAUUCGUAGCUUCGUGCGUAGUUGUUGUUGUAGCUGUGUGUUGUGCACUGAAAAAUUCGAUCGGGCCAAUGAAAGACUCCGUCGGGUCAAUGCGGUACGUACAACCGGCUGCCAUGGGAUAACACGUUAAUUUGUGAUGGCUGUCCAGCGGCACGGAGAUCACGGAUAUACGAAUGGCUCCCCUCCUAGCCUUUUCACUCUCGGGUCAUUAAAUUGACGUUAAGCUAUUGAAAAUACCUCGCACAUAUCGCCGGCAUUUUUUAUUUAAAAAAAUGUUUUCCAAGCAAGCAAAUAAAAAACAAAACAAAAAUCA